GGACGGCAGCACAGGAGAAGGCUUGCUUCUUGGGUGGCGAGUGGCGAACGGGUGAGUAACAUAUCGGAACGUACCGAGUAGUGGGGGAUAACUGAUCGAAAGAUUAGCUAAUACCGCAUAUUUCUUGAGAGGGAAAGCAGGGGACCUUCGGGCCUUGCGCUAUUCGAGCGGCCGAUAUCUGAUUAGCUGGUUGGUGGGGUAAAGGCCUACCAAGGCGACGAUCAGUAGCGGGUCUGAGAGGAUGAUCCGCCACACUGGGACUGAGACACGGCCCAGACUCCUACGGGAGGCAGCAGUGGGGAAUUUUGGACAAUGGGCGCAAGCCUGAUCCAGCCAUGCCGCGUGUCUGAAGAAGGCCUUCGGGUUGUAAAGGACUUUUGUCGGGGAAGAAAAGGUCGUUGCUAAUACCCCCGGCUGAUGACGGUACCCGAAGAAUAAGCACCGGCUAACUACGUGCCAGCAGCCGCGGUAAUACGUAGGGUGCGAGCGUUAAUCGGAAUUACUGGGCGUAAAGCGGGCGCAGACGGUUACUUAAGCAGGAUGUGAAAUCCCCGGGCUCAACCCGGGAAUUGCGUUCUGAACUGGGUGGCUAGAGUGUGUCAGAGGGAGGUAGAAUUCCACGUGUAGCAGUGAAAUGCGUAGAGAUGUGGAGGAAUACCGAUGGCGAAGGCAGCCUCCUGGGAUAACACUGACGUUCAUGCCCGAAAGCGUGGGUAGCAAACAGGAUUAGAUACCCUGGUAGUCCACGCCCUAAACGAUGUCGAUUAGCUGUUGGGCAGCCUGACUGCUUGGUAGCGAAGCUAACGCGUGAAAUCGACCGCCUGGGGAGUACGGUCGCAAGAUUAAAACUCAAAGGAAUUGACGGGG
rnacentral:rRNA from 1 species